GGGUCGUUAGCUCAGUCGGUAGAGCAGUUGGCUUUUAACCAAUUGGUCGUAUAGGUUCGAAUCCUACACGACCCACCA
rnacentral:tRNA from 1 species